UACGUAGGGGGCAAGCGUUGUCCGGAAUCAUUGGGCGUAAAGAGCGUGUAGGCGGUCCGGUCAGUCGGUUGUGAAAGUCAAGGGCUCAACCCUUGAAUGCCGGCCGAUACUGCCGGGCUAGAGUCCGGAAGAGGUGAGUGGAAUUCCUGGUGUAGCGGUGAAAUGCGCAGAUAUCAGGAGGAACACCGGUGGCGAAGGCGGAUCUCUGGGCCUGUCCUGACGCUCAGGCGCGAAAGCUAGGGGAGCAAACAGG
rnacentral:rRNA from 1 species